GACGAACGCUGGCGGCGUGCUUAACACAUGCAAGUCGAACGGAAAGGCCCUGCUUUUGUGGGGUGCUCGAGUGGCGAACGGGUGAGUAACACGUGAGUAACCUGCCCUUGACUUUGGGAUAACUUCAGGAAACUGGGGCUAAUACCGGAUAGGAGCUCCUGCUGCAUGGUGGGGGUUGGAAAGUUUCGGCGGUUGGGGAUGGACUCGCGGCUUAUCAGCUUGUUGGUGGGGUAGUGGCUUACCAAGGCUUUGACGGGUAGCCGGCCUGAGAGGGUGACCGGCCACAUUGGGACUGAGAUACGGACCAGACUCCUACGGGAGGCAGCAGUGGGGAAUCUUGCACAAUGGGCGGGAGCCUGAUGCAGCAACGCCGCGUGCGGGAUGACGGCCUUCGGGUUGUAAACCGCUUUCGCCUGUGACGAAGCGUGAGUGACGGUAAUGGGUAAAGAAGCACCGGCUAACUACGUG
rnacentral:rRNA from 1 species